rnacentral:rRNA from 1 species
AGAACGAACGCUGGCGGCGUGGAUAAGACAUGCAAGUCGAGCGCUGGUUUUCCUGUAGCAAUAUAGGGAAGCCGGAGCGGCGCAAGGGUGCGUAACACGUGGGUCAUCUGCCCUGAAGUUCGGAAUAAUUCCGCGAAAGCGGGACUAAUGCCGGAUGUGGACGAGAGUACUAAAGCUGGAACCGCAAGGUCUGGCGUCUUUUGGAUGACGCCCGCGGCCUAUCAGCUAGUUGGCGGGGUAACGGCCCACCAAGGCUAAGACGGGUAGCUGGUCUGAGAGGACGACCAGCCUCACGUGGAACUGAGACACGGUCCAGACCACCGUACGGGUGGCAGCAGUCGAGUAUUUUCACAAGUGGGACGAAAGCCGUAGGAACGGAGCGGACGCCGCGUGGAGGAG